AUACGGAAGGCAGCAGUGAGGAAUUGUUCGCAAUGGGCGCAAGCCUGACGACGCAACGCCGCGUGGAGGACGAAGAUCUUCGGAUCGUAAACUCCUGUCGAGCGGGACGAACGGCCCCGGACCUAAUACGUCCGGGGAGUGACGGUACCGCGCGAGGAAGCCCCGGCUAACUCCGUGCCAGCAGCCGCGGUAAUACGGGGGGGGCAAGCGUUGUUCGGAAUUACUGGGCGUAAAGGGCUCGUAGGCGGCCUUGUUAGUCGGACGUGAAAUCCCUCGGCUUAACCGGGGAACUGCGUCCGAUACUGCGAGGCUUGAAUCCGGGAGAGGGAUGCGGAAUUCCAGGUGUAGCGGUGAAAUGCGUAGAUAUCUGGAGGAACACCGGUGGCGAAGGCGGCAUCCUGGACCGGUAUUGACGCUGAGGAGCGAAAGCCAGGGGAGCAAACGGGAUUAGAUACCCGCGUAGUCCG
rnacentral:rRNA from 1 species